UUCCUCUGCUGCUGGGCAACCAGGACAGGCAGCUCCUGCCACGGAAUCUUUCCUCUGAUCCUCACCGUCUUAUGCCUCUCACCGUCUUGAACAGAAGAUGUGGCUACCUCUAGCAGACGGUGAAUGGGGGCAGUAGUAAGAGUCAAGAACUGCAUUUCCAGUUCUACGCACUUCAAUGAUGGAUGCCUGCAAUUACACCCUAAAUUCUCCUCCCUCGCUCUCGAUAGAGUGGAAGAAAAGUCUCUCCAAGGCCAAAAGUGUCAGAGGUUCUCCGAUCCCCUGUCCUCUAGCCUUUUCAGGGUCCCCAUCCCAUGGGCUACUCUUUCCCCCUCCCCUCCCUUCCCACUUCUUUCUCUCUCUCGCCAUCUGAUGGAAUAUAUCCAUGAAAAGAAAUGUGCUCUUUUUUUCCCAUCUUAAAAAUAUAUAAAACUCAAAACCUUUGCUUUGACCCUACAUCUCUCUAAGGCAAAGGCACCCUCACAUUUACUGGAUGCGCAGGGACGAGUCAGAGAACAUCACAGCGGACAUAUUUGACCUGCCUUCCCAGGGUGGAAGACCGAGAGAAGCCGGAGUUGGAUCUCCGGCCCUGGGGCGCUGUCUUCUCGCAUCUCCAACCUUCUCGUGUGUAGCCUUGAUUUUGCCCUAAGGAUGCUUUCCUGCAAUAGAACUUUAUUUUUAAGCGGCAUUUGGGGACAAAAUAACUACAAGACUCAAAAUGGUUGAAAAUGGAUGAAGAAAAUGGUACAGAAAGAGGGCCCCUUCCCCAGAAGGACCCCCAGGGCUCUUCCUCACCCACCUCCUCCUCAAGUUUCCUCUUCCUCCUCCUCAGGGAGUAAACCUUCCUUACAUUUGUACAUGAAAAUGGCAUUUCUUUACUGUCGUUUACUACAUAUCUAAAAUUGUUUCCAAUAUUCCAUCGAAAUGUUUUUUCAACUGUGCAAAUUGCUGUCUUGGGUCACGAUGGAGGACGUUAUGAUUCGCCAUUAAAAACAAUGAAAAUAAUUUUGGUGUAAUGGCUUUUAACCUAACAGCAUGGUUUUCCAGAAGAAUUUAAGGCAUUAAGUGAAAGGUAGGAGGGUAAUGAAAACGCCCCCUGCCAGCAUCCUCAGAGCUUCUCGUUAUUCUCCUCAAAGACAAACCACAUCACGUUCCUUGUGUCACCUCCACAGACAGGCCAUCCACAGAUGGGAAAAUACACAUGGAACCUCUCCAUCCCUUCCUGACACAGGUGAUAGCCUGCUACUCACUCGUUCCUCCACCUGGACUCAUUGUCUUCAAAAAACAUCUCAGAAAUCAUUCCAUGCCAGUACAUAAAGAGCGAGCUGACUUUCUAAAUAGCUCCAUAGUGUUCCAUUUUGCGGCUGUAUUGCAAUCUAUACAAUCGACAGACCCUGCACGGACACUUAUGCUGUUUCUACUCUUUUGUUAGUAAACUCCACCGCUUGCCUUUGGGUUAUUUCACAGGUGUGAGAAUAUGCAGGUAAAUAGGAGGAGGGGCUGAGUCCAAGGCUUUUCACCCAGCGAGUGUUGAUACAUCUCACCGAGUUGUGCUUCAAGGAGGCUGGACCAGUUCUCCAGUUCCAGCAACAACGAGGGUGGGUGGUCCCCCUCACCGCCAGGUAGGUGUCAUCCAUCAGUAUGUUGCCACACAUCUGAUCAUUGCCAAUUAGGUGGAAAGAGAGGGAAAAUCCACAAUUAAACUGUGAAGGAAAUAAGGUGAAAUAAUAAUUUUUAAAGGUAGUGGUGAGUCUUACGGUUUUAGAUCAGAUGAUCAGGCCACUAUUGGUUUCCUUUUGCUGCUGUAAAAGUAACCACAAACUUAGGAGCUUAAAAGAAUGAGGAUUUAUCAUCUUACACUUCCAUAGUUCAGAAGUCUGAAAUGGAUCUCAGUGGACAAAGUCAAGAUGCCAGCAGGGCUGCCAGAGAGAGUCCAGAAAGCUCUCUUCUUUGCCUUUGCCAGGCUCCACAGCAUCCUGUGCUCCUCGGCCCCCAGCCCCUUCCCCCAUCUUCAAAGGGAGCAACAGCUGGUGGAGUCUUUCUCUCUUCACAGGUGCUCUUCUGCCUCCUCCCCCAAUUACAAAGACCCUCAUGAUUACACUGGGCCCACCUGGACGAUGCAGGCUACAUAUGCUCGCUCUCUUAAGUAGGUCAUGGACCUCUUUUGAGGGCCAUUAUUCUGCCAACUGCAGCCUCCCAGAGGAGGUGACACUUGGGCUGAGACCAGACGUGCCACGCACAGAGCCAGGGAAGGAGAGUUCUGACAUCAGGAGCAAUGAGUGGAUGGCUGAGGAGCCCAGCUAGAGAUGAAGGACAGACUCCCUCUAGAUUCGUCUCUGAUGUGAUGGUGGAGCCCGUGGCACCAGCAAGUGCAAACACCGGGUGACGUCGCUGAGCUUUCAGCGCAAACACGGCAGCCGGCCAUUCAUCUCAAGUCAAACCUACGGCUGUGGGACAAGGGGACAUGUGCCUCUCCAGCACCUGUUUUAAAAAUGCUUGGCGUUGCUGAUUACUUCCUGUUUCUGGACGAUCCUCAGCCUUGUUUACAGGAGUCAAGCUGGUCCCCAGCCUGCCGAGCAGGACGCAGGACGCAGACCGAGAUGCUCCAACCCCCUCUGGACUUACGAGCUACAUGACGUGGACGCUCCAUCUCUGUGCCUGUUCACUUUCUUCUCGACGCUGCACAAUGGGACCCACUCUCCUCAACUGACCUCUGACAAAUAUUCUGAGAAUAUACCGAGAAGAGUCUACACCCAACGCCUGGAGGAGUUUGAGGAUCCUCCUCAAUUCUUUCUUUCUAGCAGGCUCCAAAACAAUUUAAUCACCAACUUUCUCUUUUUUCGAGAACUAUGACUAUGAAGAUUCCAAUUGCAGAAAGGGACAAGUACAUAGGAAGGAAUGGCAAAGUGACAAAGGCUGUGCUGAGAUGAAGACACUAUGGAAACAUUGUGUCUUGCCUUCUACUCCUCAUUUCCCGGCCCUACAUCCCUCCUGCACAUCAAGUGCCCAAUGAGUACAUGUUGAAUAAAUGUUUGUUCAAAAAUGGCGGAGAGAAAUAUUAAACCUUACUGAGAUGUGAACUUGGUGUCUUGCAUGCAAACAAGGCCCUGAGUGUUUGUGAACGAACUUCAGUGAAGCCACCGUACUUCCUUUUUGACCUACAAAAUGC